GAUUUAUCAGUGGAUGAUGCCAGCAGGGACAUUUUGCACCUCCUGGAGGACAACACCGAAUAUUUGGUUUUAGUGCUGGAAUUUAUACAAGCUGUAAGGUCAUUACAGCUGAGAGAAACUCACUUUAAGGAAAUAAUCACAAGUUUAAAAGGCUGCAGCCAGAAGGUAAAACUCAAAAUAUAUUAUUUUGCUUUCCUAUUCAGAAAAUAAUAAAUAGUUGCUGUUCUCACUGUGGAAAGGAAUUUGUUCUCUGAGUAUCAAAAUUCCCAAAACAAUACCAGGAUCUUUUUUGGAUUUUUUUUUCAUUUACAGUUUGUGGAUGAUGCAAACAUCAUAACCAAUGAAGUGAAAAAAUUCAGAGAGCAGAAAACCAGCAAGCUGAAGGAACACCUGAAGCACUUCCUGGAAAAGAAGAAAACUGAGAAUAUUUCGAGUAGUUUUGAUCCAUUUCAGAGUUUGAUGAAGGAUGGUGCUGAGAGAAAAUCUUCCCUGGGAAAGGAUUUCCAGCUGGAUCAACAGCAGUUGAGAUUGGGAGAUAAAAAAGGGAAAAUGCAGCAGGACAGCAAAUCCCCAUCCCACAGCAGCCAGAAUUCCCAGGCUCCAGGGACACAUCCCAGGGCACAGGAUCAGCUCCUCCUGUUCCUCACUAAGAGUACCAAGGUGCUGAAGCAGGCAGAGCACCUGAUGGCAUCCAGGGUCAUGCUGCUGAACCCCCAGCUCACAGCACCUCCCCUGCAGGGUAAAAAAACCAUAAAAAUUCAAAUAACUUUGACCUUUCCUGCUUUUUCCUGCCACUGUUCCCACCUUGCCUACAAAAUUCCCCACGUUUGCUCAAAAACCACGGUGAGAAAUGGAUUGUUCAGGAAAACAACUUUGCUGUGUUUCUGUACCCAGGGCAGGAAAUGAAGAGUGAAAUCCCCUCUUUUCUCCUCGGCCUCCUGAAGGAGGUGAACGACGAGCUCCAAAUUCAUGCGCUGGCAGCUGGGCUGGGACAGAGCCAAAAGCUGGAGAAAACAGGAAUUACUGCUCAGGAAGGAGAGCUGAGAGCACUGGACCCUGCAGCCCUUUCUCCCAGGGAGUUUGUGGUGUUCCAGUACGGCCUCUCCAUCCUACAGUUCCUCACAUUUCACAUUCAAGCUCCAGGAAUCACCCUGGCUGUUGCCUCCAGCCUCCCCCAGAGCCAUGCCCCAGGCAAUGCCUUCAGGAAUUCUUUCUUUUAUCAGGCUCUAAAGGCCUGUCUCAGUGAGAUGUUCUCCCUCAGGCUGCAGCUCUCAGCAGCUCCCCAGGGGGAUAAAUCCCAGGAGAUAAAGCAGAUGCUGCUCAAGGAGGAGCCAUUCUCCACAGAGGAAAUAAACCUCAUCUCCCAACUUUUUGAAGUGAGAGUGAAAAGCCAAACAGACAUGGAAGCCUUUGAGAAGAACCUCUUGCUCCGUGUGAAGUCUGAGGAAUCACUCAACAACAAGUGGCUGGUGAAGAAAAAAGAGAAUUUCCUUCAUCCCCUGAGCAGCAGUGGAAGGGACAGCCUCCGACAGAGGGCACACCUUGAAGGGGAAGCUGUCAAUUCCUCGUUCCCUUCAGCACUGGAGGAUAAAGUGGAUGCAUUAACUGAGGAGCUGCUGCAGAUCAUGGAGGAUGAAGAGCAGUUUUUAAGCAGCAAAGGCAAUGAAGAUCUGCUCUCUUACUACCUUGAAAUAACCAGUUUGGAGAAGGAGAGUUUGGUAAAACAAAUAAAUGCAUUAGAAGAGGAAAUAGCCCAGGGCACAAAGUUGUGAUGCUCAGAACUUUGUGGUUUGGUUCCUGCCCCUCUGCUCUGGGCAUUAGGCUUCAAUCCAAAGUAAAUCCUCUGUUUUUGCUUUAAUUCCAGUGUAUUUUUCCUCUCCAUCCCAAAGGCUCAUUAAAUCAAGAGGGAAAGCAGUGCAGUAAUUUAAAUGACAAGACUUUGGCUGGAGGAACUGACAUUUCUGGCCACAUCCAAGAGCUGAGAAGAAAUAUUGCUGCAAAAGCCCAGACUCAGUUUCCAGGAACUGAAACAGAACCACUCAAUUCCUAGUGUUAAAUAAAUUAUUCUUUAAACCAAUGCA
ensembl:lncRNA